GGUGCCAGCAGCCGCGGUAAUUCCAGCUUCAAUAGCGUAUAUUAAAGUUGUUGCGGUUAAAAAGCUCGUAGUUGGAUUACAGUUCCGGACUAGCGGUUCACCGCCCGGUGCUGACUCUCACGCUCCGAACAGCCUGAAACAUGGCCCCGCCGGCCCGCCCGGGGUGCUCUUUACCGAGUGUCCCGAGUGGCCGGCAUGUUUACUUUGAAAAAAUUAGAGUGCUCAGAACGGGCUACAUGAAUUCGCCUGAAGGUCUACGCAUGGAAUAAUGGAAUAGGACCUCGGUUCUAUUUUGUCGGUUUUCUUCGGAACCCGAGGUAAUGACUAAUAGAAAAAGGCGGGGGUAUUAGUACUGCGACGCUAGAGGUGAAAUUCUUGGACCGUCGCAAGACUAACAACUGCGAAAGCAUUUACCAAGGAUGUUUUCAUUAAUCAAGAACGAAAGUUAGAGGUUCGAAGAC
rnacentral:rRNA from 1 species